rnacentral:piRNA from 1 species
UCAUGGUUUAUAAAGCGUUUCACUCAGCA